rnacentral:rRNA from 1 species
AGAGUUUGAUCAUGGCUCAGAACGAACGCUGGCGGCAUGCCUAACACAUGCAAGUCGAACGAAGCCUUCGGGCUUAGUGGCGCACGGGUGCGUAACGCGUGGGAAUCUGCCCUUGGGUUCGGAAUAACAGUUAGAAAUGACUGCUAAUACCGAAUGAUGUCUUCGGACCAAAGAUUUAUCGCCCAAGGAUGAGCCCGCGUCGGAUUAGCUAGUUGGUGAGGUAAAGGCUCACCAAGGCGACGAUCCGUAGCUGGUCUGAGAGGAUGAUCAGCCACACUGGGACUGAGACACGGCCCAGACUCCUACGGGAGGCAGCAGUGGGGAAUAUUGGACAAUGGGCGAAAGCCUGAUCCAGCAAUGCCGCGUGAGUGAUGAAGGCCUUAGGGUUGUAAAGCUCUUUUACCCGGGAUGAUAAUGACAGUACCGGGAGAAUAAGCUCCGGCUAACUCCGUG